CCACCGCGCCCGGCCCCAAGCCCUUGUCUUUUAAUGGGUCAAUUGCAUCAUCCUCACCUAUGAAUGACAGCACUGGAAAUGGUGACUCCAUGGGUGGCGUCGGACCCCUGUCAGAGAGUAAAUCUCAAGUAAGGUACCUGCCAUCGGCAGAUUUGAGCUUUCUUCUUGGACACCUAAUACCCACAGUCCUCCAGGCUCCGGUAGACUGCAAAUGACCUGCUUUCUUUCUGUUCCCGGGCUGCGUUUGGACCCCUGUCGGAUAGUAAAUCCCAAGUAAGGUACCUGCCCUCGGCAGAUUUGAGCUUUCUUCUUGGACACCUAAUACCCACAGUCCCCCAGGCUCCGGUAGACUGCAAAUGACCUGCUUUCUUUCUGUUCCCGGGCUGCGUUUGGACCCCUGUCGGACAGUAAAUCCCAAGUAAGGUACCUGCCCUCGGCAGAUUUGAGCUUUCUUCUUGGACACCUAAUACCCACAGUCCUCCAGGCUGUAGAUGAAGGGGUUCAGCAUGGAGGUGAUCACCGUGUACAUCACUGAGGCCACUGCAGCCUUUCUCGGGGAAGAUGACACAUCUGAACUGAGGUACCCUCCAAAGCCUGUUCCGUAAAAUCAGCAAACAACUGACAGGAUAACUUCAGGAAGUGGGUAUUAAUUCUCACGGUAUAAGUGAAGACAUUAAGCACCAGAGUUUAAGUAGCUUGAUCCACUGAAAGAGAUUCAACUGUGUGGAACCUAUGCCGUGGAGAAUUGCUUUCUGCCAUUGUUAUCGUCCAGCAGUUGCCGAAUAGCUCUGACCUGAGCAAAGCAGUGAAACGCGGUGCUGUUGAGUGGGUUGCCACUGCACCUUUUUCAACUACUCUAGUCUUGUGGAGAAAAUACCCCUUCUAAAUUUUUUCUUCAUUGAAUACUCUCCCUCAGCUCCAGAGUACCAUAUAGAGUUUUCUUGUAUUUUAGAGUUACUGUUUUAUCAAAGUUUACCAGUCUUUUGUAUUACAUUUCUCCUGUCUAAAUCGACUGUGUGGUUUCUACUCAUUAUGGAUAUAGAUUGAUACAAACUCAAUAAAUAUUUUUGAAUGAA
ensembl:lncRNA LINC01198 long intergenic non-protein coding RNA 1198